GGCGAACACAAUUGCCAAGUGCCUAGGUCUUGGCGCAAGUUCGAAGAGGACCGAGCUUCGCUGCUAACAUACGCUCGGCAUCCCAGUAAGAUGCUAAUGAGAUACCGUGGUAAAAAAGAAACAAACAACAACAACACUAGAAAACAUGAGGAGAUGGAUGAAUCAGACAUGGAUCUUAACGGUAAUGCUUAACAAGGCAUCAUAGAAGAAUUUGUGGAAGGAAUUAAUAAUGAAAAACAGCAUUAUUGUCAACUGGCAACUGAUUUGCACCGAGAAAAUAAAUUAACUCUAAAAAGACAGGAAUUUCAAGAAAUGAACCAACGAAACAACAUCCCAAUGCUAAAACAGUUAUGACUCAACUUUUCACCUUUACAACACGAGCACUUUGAUGAUAAAGUUUCACCCAACAACCAAAUCCAAUAAGGCACUUUUGAGAUGACAAAUAAUGAGCUCUUAGUAGGUAACAUUUUAUUUUAUGAAAUCUUCAAAAUCUAUUUUUUGAGGCUCUUCCAUGCCAUCCCAAUUUUAAACCAGAUGUAGCCCUUUGGUCUUUGGAAAAUGCAACUGGUUUAUCUGGACUUUUUGAAGGUCAACCAAAUUGCUAUUUGCCUUCAGUCAAACCCCACAAUAAUAAUAUAAUCUAGGGUAGAUAUCAUAUUGCUCAAUGGAAAUAUUUACAAAUAUAUUCUAUUAAAGUCAUUCCAAAAAGGUAA